rnacentral:rRNA from 1 species
UGCAGUCGUACGCUUCUUUUUCCCCGGAGCUUGCUCCACCGGAAAAAGAGGAGUGGCGAACGGGUGAGUAACACGUGGGUAACCUGCCCAUCAGAAGGGGAUAACACUUGGAAACAGGUGCUAAUACCGUAUAACAAUCGAAACCGCAUGGUUUUGAUUUGAAAGGCGCUUUCGGGUGUCGCUGAUGGAUGGACCCGCGGUGCAUUAGCUAGUUGGUGAGGUAACGGCUCACCAAGGCCACGAUGCAUAGCCGACCUGAGAGGGUGAUCGGCCACAUUGGGACUGAGACACGGCCCAAACUCCUACGGGAGGCAGCAGUAGGGAAUCUUCGGCAAUGGACGAAAGUCUGACCGAGCAACGCCGCGUGAGUGAAGAAGGUUUUCGGAUCGUAAAACUCUGUUGUUAGAGAAGAACAAGGAUGAGAGUAACUGUUCAUCCCUUGACGGUAUCUAACCAGAAAGCCACGGCUAACUACGUGCCAGCAGCCGCGGUAAUACGUAGGUGGCAAGCGUUGUCCGGAUUUAUUGGGCGUAAAGCGAGCGCAGGCGGUUUCUUAAGUCUGAUGUGAAAGCCCCCGGCUCAACCGGGGAGGGUCAUUGGAAACUGGGAGACUUGAGUGCAGAAGAGGAGAGUGGAAUUCCAUGUGUAGCGGUGAAAUGCGUAGAUAUAUGGAGGAACACCAGUGGCGAAGGCGGCUCUCUGGUCUGUAACUGACGCUG